GACGAACCGUGCGAACGUUGUUCGGAAUCACUAGGCAUAAAGGGCGCGUAGGCGGCUUUUCAAGUCAGGGGUGAAAUCCGGCAGCUUAACUGUCGAAGUGCCCUUGAUACUGAUGAGCUCGAGGGAGGUAGGGGUAUGUGGAACUUCCGGUGGAGCGGUGAAAUGCGUUGAUAUCGGAAGGAACGCCGGUGGCGAAAGCGACGUACUGGACCUCUUCUGACGCUGAGGCGCGAAAGCUAGGGGAGCAAACGGG
rnacentral:rRNA from 1 species